GUUUGAUCAUGGCUCAGGACGAACGCUGGCGGCGCGCCUAACACAUGCAAGUCGAGCGCCCAGCAAUGGGAGCGGCAGACGGGAUAGUAACACGUGGGAACGUACCUUUCAGUUCGGAACAACCCAGGGAAACUCGGGCUAAUACCAAAUGUGCUUUCCGGUCAUAAGAUCGGUUCGGAAAGGUAGCUUCGGCUUCCGCAUCAGGAUGGGCCCGCGGCCCAUUAGCUUGUUGGUGAGGUAACGGCUUACCAAGGCGACAAUCAGUAGCUGGUCUGAGAGGAUGAUCAGCCACAUUGGGACUGAGACACGGCCCAGACUCCUACGGGAGGCAGCAGUGGGGAAUAUUGGACAAUGGGCGCAAGCCUGAUCCAGCCAUGCCGCGUGGAUGAUGAAGGCCCUAGGGUUGUAAAGUCCUUUCGGCGGGGAAGAUAAUGACGGUACCCGCAGAAGAAGCCCCGGCUAACUUCGUGCCAGCAGCCGCGGUAAUA
rnacentral:rRNA from 1 species